GCGCGAAACCUUCGCAAUGUGCGAAAGCAUGACGAGGUUAAUCCGAGUGGCAUCCGCUGAGGAAGUCUUUUGCCGGCUCUAAAACGGCCGGUGAAUAAGGGGAGGGCAAGCCUGGUGUCAGCCGCCGCGGUAAUACCAGCUCCUCGAGUGGUCGGGGCGAUUAUUGGGCCUAAAGCAUCCGUAGCCGGUUCCGUAGGUCCUCUGUUAAAUCCAGCCGCUUAACGGUUGGCCUGCAGAGGAUACCGCGGGACUAGGAGGCGGGAGAGGUGGGCGGUACUCUACGUGUAGGGGUAAAAUCCUUUGAUCCGUAGAAGACCACCAGUGGCGAAGGCGGCCCACCAGAACGCGCUCGACGGUGAGGGAUGAAAGCUGGGGGAGCGAACCGGAUUAGAUACCCGCGUAGUCC
rnacentral:rRNA from 1 species